CUCCCUUAGGCCGGGGGCUCUGGAGUCAGGCAGGCAGCCUGGGGACUAAUGAGACAGACCUUGGUCGACUUCUGGUCUAGCCAAUCCUGGGUUCUCGAGUGAGUGACUCAAGCUAAUGACUCAACUUCUCCGGCUCUCCAUUUUCUUACCAGGAACAUGGGAAUGGACCAGAAAGUCAGUAAUACUGACCUCCUGUGGCUGUUGCGGGUAUUAGAUGAACUGUUAGGCCAGCGUGAUUACCCCUUUCCUCCGCCCUCCUUACAGCCCGCUCUUAAAUGGGAAAGCAGAUGAGAGCCCUGAGAGAGCCAUGCAGAGUGGAGCUGGAUGGACGUGGGCGGCAUAUCCAGAAACCGACGCCAGAACCACACUGUCUGGCUUUGAAUCCCAGCUCUACCACUUACUGAUCGGCUAACUUCUGUUUCAUCCGGAAGGGAUUCCACCUGCAAGAGCCUUAUAAGCAAAGCUUUUUUCACAGGAAAAAUAUUGCACAAAGAAAAAGUUUCCACGCUGUGAUUGCUUGCAUUCUGGCUAUACCAUAAAAAGGUGUCAGAGACGACUUCCUUCACCAGGGAAACAUCUUCUGUCCCCUCUCUCUCAGCUGAGGAGCCCAACACUCCUCUCUCGCUUGUCAACUUCUUACCAGAGAAGAGAGUUCCCGGCCAAGGAUCCCCAUGAGUCUCUUGGAUUAUGUCAUCCAGAGAGUUCCAGGAAGCAGUGGGGGGUGAAGGAACCAGAUGAGGCUGCCAACCCAGCAACACUUGCUCUAACCUCGGAAUUGCUUGCUUAGGAUGAAAGGCCAACCCUCCAGUCACUGAGGUUGACGAUCGUAGGAAGCAAGUGUGGAAGCAGGGCGACCAGUGAGGAGAUGGCUGCAGAGACCCAGCUGGGAGCUGAUGCUGGCCUGGCCUGGAGUGGGGGCAAAUAGAGAAUUUACAGGUCACUACUGCCUUUGUCUCGAUCUCAGGGUUGAGUGGCCUCCCAGUUGUCAUGGUGCUGUUUUUUGACCCAAGGAUGGAGACCUGACUCAAGCCUAUCAAUCAGAGUGCUUCCCUGGGAAGUUGGACCAGGAACUGAUGAUUGGAGCUCUAACAUGGAACCUGUACCAUGGGUGGCCAUGGUGUUCUGCUCUGUGGGUCAGAAAAGCAGAUGGAGCUGAUCUGCAAAGCGAAAGAUAAGAACGAAGCACAUGUGUAGGCUUAGAGCAGAAGAGCUGAAACACGGAGAGUCCUGCUGGGGUUUGAGUUUCUGGUUGCAAUACAUAUUUGCCCCAGUUAAAGUCCCGUCCUUGGGUCCUGUGAGAUAUCCUGGAUCCUUAUCAUAAAUGUCAACUUUUUUCACUCCAUCUAACUCAAAUGUGUUUCUGACUACCAAAAGAGUCUGAAUAAUUUGUACUUCAAAUCUACUUCUAUCACCUCAGGUCUAAGCAGAAAUAGAUUUUCCAUGAAGUUCAUGAAGCUUAAGUUUCAGAGUUUCUCACUCACAAAGGCCCCUUCCAAAGCCCCAUUUUGUAUUUGUACUUUUUUUGUUUUAAGAUUGGCCCUGAGCUAACAUCUGUUGCUAAUCUUCCUCUUUUUUUUUCCUCCCCAAAGCCCCAGUGCAUAGUUGUACAUCCUAGUUGUAAGUGAUUCUAGUUCUUCUAUGUGGGACACUGCCUCAGCCUGGCUUGAUGAGCAGUACUAGGUCUGUGCCAGGGAUCCAAACUGGUGAACCCCUGGGCUGCCAACGUAGAGCAUGCAAACUUAACCACUUGGCCAUGGGGCUGGCCCCAGUACUUUUGUUUUCUUUUUCUUAAAGAGGGUGCCCCAAAUUGUAUAAGUUUCAGACCACAUAAAAUGUGGAUUUGCCCUGUGUAUGCUUUCCUCUCUGUAGUUGCAAAGGUUGGGUGAUUUCAGGAAGGCUCGUCCUCCAUAACACCAAACUCACGGCAACGUUAGGGCCUUUGGCGAGUCUCCUCUACCUGCAAGGUUUCUCCCCCAGACCUUUGCAGAGUUGGCUCCUUCUUAGGGAUCAGGUCUUACCUUCAGUGUCAUUGCCUCCAAGAGGCCUUCCCUGUAUACUCAGUCUAAGGAGUUCUGGGGUCUCUAUCACACCAUCCUCUUUAAUUUUCAUGACAAUUUCUCGUUUAUUCAUUUAUUUCCUUUUUGUCCAUCUCCUCCUGCUCUUUCUAAAAUGAAAGUACUGUAAGAGCAGGAACCCUGUCUUCUUUACUACUGUAUUCCCAAGCAUCUAGAAGAGCGCCUGGCACAUUGUAGGCCUUCAGUAAACAUGUGUUAGGAUUAUAUUUAUUUAUCAGAUAGUAAAGUGCUUGUGUGCUGGG
rnacentral:lncRNA from 1 species